rnacentral:rRNA from 1 species
CUACGGGUUGCAGCAGUUAAGAAUCUUCCGCAAUGGACGAAAGUCUGACGGAGCGACGCCGCGUGGGUGAAGAAGGCCGAGAGGUUGUAAAGCCCUUUUCUGCUUGAGGAAUAAGCCUGGUAGGGAAUGACCGGGUGAUGACGGUAGGGCAGGAAUAAGCCCCGGCUAAUUACGUGCCAGCAGCCGCGGUAACACGUAUGGGGCGAGCGUUGUUCGGAAUCAUUGGGCGUAAAGGGCGUGUAGGCGGAAAUGCAAGUCUGGUGUGAAAGACCGCAGCUCAACUGCGGGGACGCGCUGGAAACUGCAUAUCUUGAGUUCCGGAGGGGGAGUUGGAAUUCCUGGUGUAGGGGUGAAAUCUGUUGAUAUCAGGAAGAACAUCGGUGGCGAAGGCGAACUCCUGGACGAGAACUGACGCUGAGGCGCGAAAGCGUGGGGAGCGAACAGGAUUAGAUACCCUGGUAGUC